rnacentral:misc_RNA from 1 species
CCGAGUUCAUGCCCUUACGGGUAGAUCUCCCACCCUAUGUUAUAUAUUACCUUUGUUGCUUUGGCAGGCCGUCAGGCCUCGGUCAGGCUACCGGCUCCGGCUGGUAAGCGCCUGCCAGAGGACCCCCAACUCUGCGUUUAGUGUUGUCUGAGUAAUAUUUUUAAUACGUUA